GAAUGCAAACGAUACGAGGAAUUUCCCGAUCACCUGCAAGUACUCUUCAUUCAGCUGCUUCGUCAUCAUGGAGCUGGAUAAGGAAGCUGAUUUCUACGUGCACUCUCCGUACGACGUGUCCGACAUCACCCAGAUGAAGGCUACCAUGUUCGCGUCCCUAAACCGGCAGAGUGAACUCAGUGUGAUGGAGACGCACUGUGGACAAGGGGUCCGCCCGUUGAAGCCGGCCCGGCGAGGUUGCAGAUUCACUGACGAACCCCCUAACCAACGAGACCAGGU